rfam:Canis lupus familiaris chromosome 19, whole genome shotgun sequence.
GUGCUCAGUUUGGCAGUACAUGUUCUAAAAUUGGAAUGAUACAGAGAUUAGCAUGGCCCCUCCAAGGAUGACAUGCAAAUAUGUGAAGUGUUCCAAAUUUUU